rnacentral:rRNA from 1 species
GAUGAACGCUAGCUACAGGCUUAACACAUGCGAGUCGAGGGGAAACGACAUCGAAAGCUUGCUUUUGAUGGGCGUCGACCGGCGCACGGGUGAGUAACGCGUAUCCAACCUGCCCAUCACUUGGGGAUAACCUUGCGAAAGUAAGACUAAUACCCAAUGAUAUCUCUAGAAGACAUCUGAAAGAGAUUAAAGAUUUAUCGGUGAUGGAUGGGGAUGCGUCUGAUUAGCUUGUUGGCGGGGUAACGGCCCACCAAGGCAACGAUCAGUAGGGGUUCUGAGAGGAAGGUCCCCCACAUUGGAACUGAGACACGGUCCAAACUCCUACGGGAGGCAGCAGUGAGGAAUAUUGGUCAAUGGGCGAGAGCCUGAACCAGCCAAGUAGCGUGCAGGAAGACGGCCCUAUGGGUUGUAAACUGCUUUUAUAAGGGAAGAAAGUGAGAGUCGUGACUCUUUUUGUAUGUACCUUAUGAAUAAGGACCGGCUAAUUCCGUG